AAGCGAAUCCGAUAAUACACCGAUGGCCUGCCAGAUGUUCCUGCCCUAAGAGGGCAACCAAAGUCUGGACCAACAGGCCAUCGGCACGGUUCGCCC
rnacentral:ncRNA from 1 species